UACUGAGGGUGCGAGCGUUGUCCGGAAUCACUGGGCGUAAAGGGCGCGUAGGCGGCGCGGGCAGUCAACGGUGAAAGCUUGGGGCUCAACCCCGAGUCGGCCGUCGAUACUCCCGGGCUGGAGCACUGUAGAGGCAGGUGGAAUUCCGGGUGUAGCGGUGGAAUGCGUAGAGAUCCGGAAGAACACCGGUGGCGAAGGCGGCCUGCUGGGCAGUAGCUGACGCUGAGGCGCGACAGCGUGGGGAGCAAACAGG
rnacentral:rRNA from 1 species